UACGUAGGGGGCGAGCGUUGUCCGGAUUCAUUGGGCGUAAAGCGCGCGUAGGCGGCUCCGCAAGUCGGCCGUGAAAUCUCCGGGCUCAACUCGGAGGGGUCGGGCGAGACUGCGAGGCUCGAGGUGGGCAGAGGGCAGUGGAAUUCCGGGUGUAGUGGUGGAAUGCGUAGAGAUCCGGAGGAACACCAGUGGCGAAGGCGGCUUCCUGGACCGAUACUGACGCUGAGGCGCGGAAAAGCUAGGGGAGCAAACGGGG
rnacentral:rRNA from 1 species